GGAAAAGAAACUAACAAGGAUUCCCCUAGUAACUGCGAGUGAAGCGGGAAAAGCUCAAAUUUAAAAUCUGGUGGUCUCUGGCCAUCCGAGUUGUAAUCUAGAGAAGUGUUACCCGCGUCGGACCGUGUAUAAGUCUCCUGGAAUGGAGCGUCAUAGAGGGUGAGAAUCCCGUCUUUGACACGGACUACCGAGGCUUUGUGGUAUGCUCUCAAAGAGUCGAGUUGUUUGGGAAUGCAGCUCAAAAUGGGUGGUAAAUUCCAUCUAAAGCUAAAUAUUGGCGAGAGACCGAUAGCGAACAAGUACCGUGAGGGAAAGAUGAAAAGAACUUUGGAAAGAGAGUUAAACAGUACGUGAAAUUGCUGAAAGGGAAACGCUUGAAGUCAGUCGCGUUGGCCGGGAAUCAGCCUUGCUUUUGCUUGGUGUACUUUCUGGUUGACGGGCCAGCAUCAGUUUUGACCGGUGGAAAAAGUUCAGGGGAAUGUGGCAUCUUCGGGUGUGUUAUAGCCCUUGUUCGUAUACAUCGGUUGGGACUGAGGAACUCAGCACGCCGCAAGGCCGGGUCUUUGACCACGUUCGUGCUUAGGAUGCUGGCAUAAUGGCUUUAAUCGACCCGUCUUGAAACACGGACCAAGGAGUCUAACAUGCCUGCGAGUGUUUGGGUGGAAAACCCGAGCGCGUAAUGAAAGUGAAAGUUGAGAUCCNUGUCAUGGGGAGCAUCGACGCCCGGACCUGACGUUUUCUGACGGCCCUGCGGUAGAGCAUGUAUGUUGGGACCCGAAAGAUGGUGAACUAUGCCUGAAUAGGGUGAAGCCAGAGGAAACUCUGGUGGAGGCUCGUAGCGAUUCUGACGUGCAAAUCGAUCGUCAAAUUUGGGUAUAGGGGCGAAAGACUAAUCGAACCAUCUAGUA
rnacentral:rRNA from 1 species